CGAAGCCGAGGGACCCUUCGGGGAGCCGCCACAGGUGCUGCACGGCUGUCGUCAGCUCGUGCCGUGAGGUGUUCGGUUAAGUCCGCGAACGAGCGCAACCCCUGCCGCCAGUUACAAGUGUCUGGCGGGACUGCCGGUGACAAACCGGAGGAGGGCGGGGAUGACGUCAAGUCAGCAUGGCCUUGAUGUCCAGGGCGACACACACGCUACAAUGGCUGGUACAAUGGGCAGCGAAGCCGCGAGGUGGAGCGAAUCUCGUAAAGCCAGUCGUAGUUCGGAUUGUAGGCUGCAACUCGCCUGCAUGAAGCCGGAGUUGCUAGUAACCCGUGGGUCAGCCACACUACGGUGAAUACGUUCCCGGGCCUU
rnacentral:rRNA from 1 species